CUUGCUGGGCGGAUUAGUGGCGAACGGGUGAGUAAUACGUGAGUAACCUGCCCUUGACUCUGGGAUAAGCCUGGGAAACUGGGUCUAAUACUGGAUACUACCUCUUGCCGCAUGGUGGGUGGUGGAAAGGGUUUUACUGGUUUUGGAUGGGCUCACGGCCUAUCAGCUUGUUGGUGGGGUAAUGGCUCACCAAGGCGACGACGGGUAGCCGGCCUGAGAGGGUGACCGGCCACACUGGGACUGAGACACGGCCCAGACUCCUACGGGAGGCAGCAGUGGGGAAUAUUGCACAAUGGGCGGAAGCCUGAUGCAGCGACGCCGCGUGAGGGAUGACGGCCUUCGGGUUGUAAACCUCUUUCAGUAGGGAAGAAGCGAGAGUGACGGUACCUGCAGAAGAAGCGCCGGCUAACUACGUGCCAGCAGCCGCGGUAAUACGUAGGGCGCAAGCGUUGUCCGGAAUUAUUGGGCGUAAAGAGCUCGUAGGCGGUUUGUCGCGUCUGCUGUGAAAGCCCGGGGCUCAACCCCGGGUCUGCAGUGGGUACGGGCAGACUAGAGUGCAGUAGGGGAGACUGGAAUUCCUGGUGUAGCGGUGAAAUGCGCAGAUAUCAGGAGGAACACCGAUGGCGAAGGCAGGUCUCUGGGCUGUUACUGACGCUGAGGAGCGAAAGCAUGGGGAGCGAACAGGAUUAGAUACCCUGGU
rnacentral:rRNA from 1 species